UACGUAGGGUGCGAGCGUUAAUCGGAAUUACUGGGCGUAAAGCGUGCGCAGGCGGUUUCGUAAGUCUGUCGUGAAAUCCCCGGGCUUAACCUGGGAAUUGCGAUGGAGACUGCGAGGCUAGAGUUUGGCAGAGGGGGGUAGAAUUCCACGUGUAGCAGUGAAAUGCGUAGAGAUGUGGAGGAACACCGAUGGCGAAGGCAAUCCCCUGGGCCUGUACUGACGCUCAUGCACGAAAGCGUGGGGAGCAAACAGG
rnacentral:rRNA from 1 species